CGGGGCUCCAGGCUGGCAGGUGAGGGUUCCGGCUCACCUGGAAGCGCGCGCCCCCGCCGGCCCUGGAGGUGCGGAAACCAGGGGUCGCGGUCAGCGCAGGCCCUGCCCUCCGCCGCCGAGGCGCGCGCGUCCUUAGGCCGGAGCUACAAGAAUCCUCCUCUCCCUGUGGUCCGCAGGAGUCCUGAGCGACCACACACAGCAGCGAACCAGAGCCCUCUCUGCCUCUGGCUUAUCAAUUAACAUUUAGCCUAAAGUAAAGUUUUCCCUCUCUUUUUUAGCUUAAAAGUAUUUUAGAGAAUAAAAAUAUUGUAGAGAAUUUAAGAAAUCACUCCUAGUGUCAACAUGGAAUUUUAAUGUUUUUAUUGUAUAUUUUAAGAAUUCUGUUUUUUUUAAAUUUUUUUUUCAGUUGUAGUUGGACACAUACCUUUAUUUUAUUUAUUUUUAUGUGGUGCUGAGGAUGGAACUCGGCCUCUUCGCGUGCUACAUGAGCUCUGUACCGCUGAGCCACAGCCCCAGGCCCUCCUGUUUGGUUUUGUUCUGUACUGCUUCAUUAUUUCCCAUAAUUGUCACUAAAUUUCUAGCCUGCUUACUUGCUUCUUUUUCCUUUUUUUGUAUGGGGAUUGAACCCAGGGGCACUUAAGCACUGAGUCACAUCCCAGCACAUUGUUUUUUAUUUUGAGACAGGGUCUUGCUAAGUUGCUUGGAGCCUUGGUAAGUUACUAAGGCUGGGUUUGAACUUGUGAUCCUCCUGGCUCAGCCUCCCUAGCCACUGGGAUUACAGGUGUGGGUCAUGCCUGGCCUCAGCCUGUUUUGAAAAAUGAUUAAAUCAUAUUUCAGACAAUUUCUCUAUGACAUGCCCUUCCUGAAUCAUACCUGCUAGCUGCAUGACUUUGCACUGUUUCGUCCAGCUAGUUGGGCAUUUAGGUGGGGUCUGCAUUUUCAUUUUGAAGUAGCAUGUAAUUUUGAUUUUUAUUUCUUAGUUAUGCUACAAGUUUGUAAAAGGUGUUUACAGUUUUUUUCAAGUGGACAGGUAUUUACCCUUCUCUUUGUUUAAAAUUUUUUUACUCUGCAGUUUGAGAAUGUGAUUGUAUUUCUGCUUUUUGAAUUUGAGUUUUGAUUGAUGGUUGAUUUGUGUGUGUGUGUGAGUGUGUGCGCGCGCGUGUGUGUGUGUGUGUGUGUGUGUGUUACAGGGUAUUGACCCCAGGGGUGCUCUACCACUGAACCACAUCCCCAACCUUUUUAUUUUUUAUUUUGAGAGAGGGUCCUGCUGAGUUGCCCAGGCUGGCCUCAAACUUGCAAUCCUCCUGCCUCAGUCUCUGGAAUUACAGGUGAGCACCACCAAGCCCAUUUGUAAAUAACCUUAGGCAUAGUUUUGCACAAAAUUCCAUACAUUUAUUAACCAUAACUAUUAUAUCUUUACUUUUUGUAUACUUCAUCUGUCAAUUGGAUUUUCCGUUUCUUCUAAUUUCUAAGUUUGUGCUUUCUGUAUUUUAAAAGUGAUAUUAUGAAUGUAAAAAUGCUGUUGAGAUGAUAAAUAAGGAACCAUACCAGCAUAUACAUCUUUUUAUGCAUUCUGAAUUAUUUCUCUUGGUCGAGAUUUUCAAAAGGAAGUGGGCUUUCAAGCCAAGUUGUCCUUUUAAGGAUUUGACAAAUGUGUACAUGAGAAUGCAUAUUUCACUAAACUCCACUCAGCAACAGGAAUUAGACACACGUACACGUAUUCUCUCUAUAUAUACAUAUAUGUACAUACAUAUUUGUCAGUGUUAUAUUUGAGAAAGGCAAGAAAUGAGAUACUUUUUUUUUUUGGUUUACCAUUUACAAAUCUUUCACAUACAUUCUCAUUUGACCCUCCCGACAACCCUGUGAGGUAGGCAGCACAGACAUUCUUCUCAAUUAACAGAUGAGGAAAGUGAAUCUAAAAGCAGUUAACUGAUGUGCCCAAGGUUCUAUAGUUAGCAAAUAGUUUGUAAUAUCAGUCUUUGGCCUAAAAAUUAAGUGCCCAACCUCCCCUCAUACUUGCCUUACCUACUUCACAGGGAUAAUGAAGAUAAAAUGAAUUGAAAAUUAAAAAAAUACUUUGAGGGGAAAAACCACUAUAUAAUUAUACCCAAUAUUGCCCAUGAUAUAUGGCUCAUUCCUCUUAUUCCAGUUUGUGCAUGAACCAGAAUUUUAUAUUACUUCUAUGCUCAACUAAGCAAUUAAGUAAGGCAGGGUAAUAGUGUGAUCCUGUUUAAAAUUAGAUAAAUUACAAUCAGGGUAACUGCAUUAUUAAGCAAAUUGAAAAACAGGCUAAUGUGCAAUUAGGACCCAAUAAAGCACACAGCAAAGCAAGGCAACAUUAUCAGAUAGGGCAUGAUUGCAUAGAGGGAAAAUGUAGUGUCAGUUAAACUGGCACACACCCAGUUAUCUAAGGUGAAGUGGUGGCAAAGAAGAGUUAUUUGUUCUGCAUUAUGUAAAUAAGAGAAGAUGAUUCUUGGGAACCCAUGCAAAAGCAUCUUGUCACACAGAUUUCUCCAGCUGCCUAAAGAGAAUAUAAACACGGUCAUCUUCAUUGUCGAGAAUGAUUCUAUCUAUGCUUAUAUCCAGACUAAACCAAGGAAUACCUCCAAGCUAAUCUUCCGUGGCUAAAAUACAACUAGUACCAUUAUUCCUAAUUAGACUAAUAAAUAGAUAUCUUUUAAUGAAUUAGAUGGCUGUUUAAUUUUUUUUUUCAGGAUUCACUUUGGAUUCUUCUGCUUUAAGACCCAAAGCACGUUAU
rnacentral:lncRNA from 1 species